GAUGAACGCUGGCGGCGUGCCUAAUACAUGUAAGUCGAGCGAACAGACGAGGAGCUUGCUCCUCUGACUUUAUCGGCGGACGGGUGAGUAACACGUGGAUAACCUACCUAUAAGACUGGGAUAACUUUGGGAAACCGGAGCUAAUACCGGAUAAUAUAUUGAACCGCAUUGUUCCAUAGUGAAAGACGCUUUUUCUGUCACUAAUAGACUGAUACGCGCCCCAUUAGCUAGUUGGUUAGGUAAUGGCUUACCAAGGCAACGAUGCGUAAACGACCUGAGAGGGAGGACGGCCACACGGGAAGUGAGAAUGAGCAGAGACACCUAGGGGGGGAAGCAGCAGGGAAUCUUACGGGAAGGGGGAGAGGGGGAUGGAGCACAGCCGCGGAAGGGAUGAAGGUGUUCGGAUCGGAGAGCGAUGUAAUUAGGAGAGAACAAAAGUGUAAGUAACUGGGCACGUAAUGACGGUACCUAGUCAAAAAGCCACGGCUAACUACGUG
rnacentral:rRNA from 1 species